CGGAACGGGUGAGUAACGCGUGAGGAACCUGCCUCAAAGAGGGGGACAACAGUUGGAAACGACUGCUAAUACCGCAUAAGCCCACGGCUCGGCAUCGAGCAGAGGGAAAAGGAGCAAUCGCUUUGAGAUGGCCUCGCGUCCGAUUAGCUAGUUGGUGAGGUAACGGCCCACCAAGGCGACGAUCGGUAGCCGGACUGAGAGGUUGAACGGCCACAUUGGGACUGAGACACGGCCCAG
rnacentral:rRNA from 1 species